rnacentral:lncRNA from 1 species
CCAUGAGCGCUCCUAUGCCCCCUCCAAUGGAGCCGGACCCGCGGUGGCGGAGACGAGGGAGGCGCCCAACUCGUCUGGACUGGAGUGCGUUCCUGAGCGUUUCUUGGUUUCCUCUUGCGCAGUUCAACUCGUUGUGCGCGGGAGAGGCGAUGCAUAGGAAGGAACGGGUAUGAUCUUACUGCUCGCUCGCUCUCUUGUGAUUUGUUGCCAAAUCUUUCUGGUGUGAUAGCAUGCUUUGCACUUGAUAGGAGGCGUUUCUUGAUUUGUCUAUUUGGUGUGAUUGCAUGCUUUGCACUUUUGCUGCGAGUAAAAAAUGUGGGGAUCAUGUCUUGGCAGUGCUUGCUGUCAUAUUUUGGCAAGAAGAAAUCUUGAUGCCAAAAUGUAUCAGUUUCCAUUGUAGAUGAAUGUCGUUACAGUAGUUUCCAAUCUGGAUGGCACUUGGCACUCACUACUAGCUCACAUUUGGCUUAAGUUAAAGCAAUAGGUUGGCCUCUCAUUUGAGGUUAGUACAGUAGCAGAGAUACUUCUAAUCUACUUGUUAGACAUUGCAAUGGGAUCUGCAGUAGUUCUGUUUGUUUAUGAUUAUUCAGCUUUGUUCAACACAUGAUUUACACAUUGAAAAAACUGGUUACUCCUGUAGCAUUUGAACUCAGAUUUCCAUACACUACUGUUUGUGCAUUUGAGGAACUUGGCUCCAGAGUGUGUCAUGACCGAGGUACUGUUAGAUAGAGCAUCUGUUAGUGGUCUUUCACUUGCGUGUCAGAUAGUGUACAAAUUAAUUGCUGUUUUGAGUUGGCGGUCAAAUCAGCACUUUGUUAUCAUACUAAAUCGCAUGGGUUUUAUUGUAUCAUCUGGGUAGUCGCAAGCGAGGACUAGUUGUUCAGACUUAGGGGGGUAUGUUCUUCUGAUUUCUGAUGCUGAUGGGACUUCUGCCCGUAGCAUUUGUCAGUUUAGUUGGACUGAAUUAGUGAUACAUAGCAUUUGCAACAUAUAUUACUAAAAAAUAAUUAUUAUAAAUACAUGUGGAAAAAUGUGCGUACAAGACUAGCUAAUUGUGUCUGCUUACUGUCUGGACGCAUACUUUGGUACGACGUACGUGUACUGCAGAGUACCUUAACCAGUGAGAGUACCUUACUAUAUCAUGUCCAAUAAUAAUUACUAUAGUAUUUGAUGCUGCCUUCUUUUUUGAGUUAUUCAAGUAUGGGUCAUUCAACUACAUUUUUUUGCCUACAUACCGGUAUAUCUUACUUUAGAUUAAUCAUUUCAGCUUCACACAAUUAAUUAAGGCCAAAAGGGGUCAAUUUUAGGACUCUUCAUAAUUCAGCUGUCUUUUUUUUGUAUUGUUAUUGUUCAGUCCAUCUUUAUAGGUUACAUCAGUGGUAGUUGGUUUAAUUGACUAGACUCAAACUUCUCUCAUCUGAGUUUAGAAACAUUUGUCGCUUCAAGGUUUCCGCCAUGGAUUGCUUGUUUUUGUGCCUUGUUUCUAUUCUUGAUCUGUAUUUUGUAGCUCUUACAAAUAUGGUUGUUUCUUCUACAGGACCUCCAGGCCUAAGAAAAUUGAAGUGCGAAGCCUUGAAGCCAAUUGUGU